AGUAACACGUAGGUAAUGUGCCUUUGGGUGGGGAAUAACUUAGGGAAACUUAAGCUAAUACCGCAUAAUGCAGCGGCUCCUAAUGGAGACAGUUGUUAAAGAUUUAUCGCCUAAAGAGCAGCCUGCGGCAGAUUAGCUAGUUGGUAAGGUAAUAGCUUACCAAGGCUACGAUCUGUAUCCGACCUGAGAGGGUGGUCGGACACACUGACACUGAAUAACGGGUCAG
rnacentral:rRNA from 1 species